GCAAUGCUGGGAAGGCAGACUGAGUCAGUAGCUCAGGUGAGCUGCAGGAACUUGGAGAAAAUAUUCACAUAUGCAGCAUAUUUUCAGAAAUGUCUCCUUGGCUAGAAGGAGAAGGUUGAAAGGCAGACUGAGGAAUCUCCAUUCAGGGCCUGAGUAGGAGCAAUGGUCUAUAAGGAAUCAAAGUCAGAGUCCCAACUGGAUCCAGAUCCAAGCAUGUCAGGAGGCUAUGAACUAGAGCCAGAGACCAAAUUAGAGCAGUCCUCUGACAACAGGCCGUGGAACUGAUGAGAAUAUUCCUAAGCUUUGUUUCUCAGCUAGUAGCACUGUUCUGAGGAGCCUGGAAAGGGAAGUAAAUAAGUACCAGGGGAAAAGUAAGUACCUCUCUAAGAGUUUCCUAGCUAUGAAGAGGCAGAAAUUGAUUUUUUAAAUAUAUCUUUACAAAUGGAGUCAAAACUAUUUAAGCUCAAGAGGGGUGAAAUUUAGUAAUUCCUUUCUUCUGAGCAAAGGUCAAUCUUAGGAAAUGACCUCCAUAACCUAUGUAUAUUAGUCAAGAGUCUCCAGAGAAACAGAAUCAAUAAGAUAUAUAUAUAUAGACAUAUAAAAGGAGAUUUAUUAUAGAAAUUGGCUUACACAAUUAUGGAGGCAAGUCCCACGAUUUGCCAUCUGCAAGCUGGAAAACAAGGAAAGCCGAUAGUGUAAUUUAAUCUGAGUCUGAGGGGAACCAACAUAGCAGAUGGUGUAAGUCCCAGGCUAAGUUCGAAAGCCUGGAUGGAAUAAGGAGCAGAUGAUGGUGUAAAUCUGGAUCCAAGUCCAAAAACUGAGUCCAAAGAAUGAGGAGCACCGACGUUCAAGGGCUGGAGAAAAUGAAUGUCCCAGAUCAAGCAUAGAGCAGAUUUGCCCUUCUUCCACCUUUUUGUUCUAUUUAGGUCCUCAAAUGAUUGAUCCUCAGAAAACAAACAAACAACCCAAUUGGAAAAUGGGUCAAAGACUAUCAGAUACCUUGCCAAAGAAAGUACAUGGAUGACAAAUAAGCAUGUGAAAAGAUGCUUCACAUCGUAUGUCAUCAGUGAAAUGCAAAUUAAACUAACUAUGAGAUACCACUACUCAUCUACUAGAAUGGCCAAAAUCUUGAACACUGACGACACUAAAUGCUGCUGAGAUUGUGGGCCAAUAGGAACUCUCAUUCAUUGCUGGUAUGUGUGCAAAGUGGUACAACUACUCUGGAAGACAGUUUGGUGAAACCUACUAUUAUCAUAUGAUCCAGCACUCAUGCUUCUUGGUAUUUACUUACCUGAAGGAGUUGAAAAUUUAUGUUCAUAGAAAAAUCUCAUACAGAUGUUUAUAGCAGCUUUAUUCAUAAUUGCCAAAACCUAGAAGCAACCAAGUCUUUCAGUAGAUGAAUGGAUGAAUAAGCAGUACAGAAAUGAGCUAUCAAGCUAUGAAGAGACAUGGAGGAACCUGAAAUGCACAUUGCUAGGUGAAAGAAGCCAAUCUGAAAAAGGCCACGUUUUGUAUGAGUCCAAUAUUAUGACACUCUGGAAAGGAAAAAUUAUGAAGACUAUUGUUUAAAACAGAGAAGACAGCAGGUCUAAAAUGAAGUCCCUGUGCACUUAUGCCCCACUUCACCAAACCAAGACUUAACUUAGUUUCAACUCUCCUAGAAAUGAAAUCUUAAACCAAUAUGUCAGGCAUUGCCUGAUCAGCACUUACUAGGUAAUCUGCCUGACAGACUCGUGCUAUCCUGUAAAGGAAAGUCACCUUGCAAUAAUCAACCUGCUUUUUUGCCUGGCAUGACUUCCUUGUUCCCACUGUCUCCUGCCAUAAAAAUAUAUCAUUUUGUACAAUACCUGAGAGCUCCUUUCUAUCUACUAGAGUGUAUGCUGCCUGAUUGAAAUUGACUUUUGCUCAAACUGUUAAAAUUUUUAAAAUGCCAAAGUUUAAUUUUUAAUACUAUGAAGACAAUAAAAAGGUCAGUGGUUGACAAUAGUGGGGGGGGUGGAGUCAGGAAAGAGAGACAUGAAUAGGUAGAGCUCAGAGGAUUUUUAGGGCAGUGAAAAUACUCUCUAUGAUACUAUAAUGAUGAAUGUAUGACAUUAUACAUUUGUCAAAACCAAUAGAAUGCACAAUACCAACAGUGAACCCUAAAGUACAUUAUGGACUUCAUGUGGUUAUGAUGUGUCAGUGUAGAUGCCUUGUUGGUAAAAAAAUAAAAAGUGAGUAAGGUUAAUAAUAGGGGAGGAAAUGCAUGAGUGGGGGCAGGGAAAUCUCUGUACCUUCCUCCCAAUUUUGUUACAAACCUAAAUCUACUCAAAGAAAAGUUUCUGGAGUUCCCGUCGUGGCUCAGUGGUUAAUGAAUCCGACUAGGAACCAUGAGGUUGCAGAUGCGGCUCAGAUCCUGUGUUGCUUUGGCCAUGACGUAGGCCAGCAGCUGUAGCUCCAUUUUGACCCCUAGCCUGAGAACCUCCAUAUGCCGUGGGUAUGGCCCUAAAAAGAAAAAAAAAAGAAAAAAAAAUCCAAAACAGUUAAUAAAAUGGCUUUAAGAACAUACAUAUCAAUAAUUACCUUAAAUGCAGAAGGACUAAAUGCCCCAACCAAAAGACAUAGACUGGCUAAAUGGAUACAAAAACAAGAUGCACAUAUAUGCUGUCUUCAGUAGACCCACUUCACUUCUAGUGACAUGUACAAAUUGAAAGUGAGAGGAUGGGAGAAAAUAUUCCGUGCAAACUGAAACCAAAAGAAAGCUGGAGUAGCAAUACUCAUAUCAGACAAAAUAGACCUUAAAAUAAAGAAUAUUAUAAGAGACAAAGAAUGACAGUAUAUAAUCUAAGGAUCAAUCCAAGAAGAAGAUAUAGCAAUUGUAAAUAUAUAUGCACCCAACAUGAGAUCACCUCAGUGUAUAAGGCAACUGCUAACAACCUUAAAAGGAGAAAUUUACAAUAACACAAUAAUAGUGGGGGACUUUUAACACCCUACUUACAGCAAUGGACAGAUCAUCCAGACAGAAAAUCAACAAGGAAAUACAAGCCUUAAAUGAUACAUUAGACCAGAUGGACUUAAUAUUUAUAGAACAUUCCAUCCAAAAGCAGCAGAAUACACAUUCUUCUCAAGUGUGCAUGGAACAUUCUCUAGGAUAGAUCACAUUCUGGGCCACAAAUCAAGCUUCAGUAAACUUAAGAAAAUUGAAAUCAUAUCAAGCAUUUUUUCCAACUACAACAUUUAUAUGACUGGAAAUCAACAAGGAAAACCUGCAAAAAAAAAAAAAGCAAAAGCACGUGGAGACUAAACAAUAUGCCACUAAACAACCUCUCUGAAGAAAUAAAAGAGGAAAUUUAAAAAUAUCUAGGAGCAAAUGACAGCAAAGACACAACAAUCCAACACCUAUGGGAUGCAGCAAAAGCAGUUCUAAGACUGAAGUUUACAGCAAAUACACGCCUACCUCAGGAAACAAGAAAAAGCUCAAAUAAACAACCUAUCUUUACACCUAAAGCAACUAGAGAGAGAAGAACAGACAAAACCCAAAGUUAGCAGGAGGAAAGAAAUCAUAAAGAUCAGAGCAGAAAUAAAUGAAAUAGAAACUAAGAAAACCAUAGGAAAAGAUCAAUGAAACUAAAAGCUUGUUCUUUGAAAAGAUCAACAAAACUGAUAAACCCUUAGCCAGACUCAUCAAAAAAAGAGAGGCAGAGAGGACUCAAAUCAAUAAUAUUAGAAAUGAAAAAGGAGAAGUUACAACAGACAUCACAGAAAUACAAAGGAUCAUUAGAGACUAUUACAAGCAACCAUAUACCAAUAUAAAUGCUGUAAAACUGGGUUGUCAUGAUUGCUGUACAACUAUAAAUGCUAUACAGUUCAUUGAGUUAAAAAAAGAUAAAUGUAGAAAUUUUAAUUGCAGUAUCACUUAUAAUCACACACACCACAAAAACAAACAAAACAAGAACCAGCCUAAAUGUUCAUCCAUAGAGAAAUAGUUAAAUAAACUAUGGUAUACUGGACUAAUGUUAAGCCAUGAAAAAGAAUAAGAUAGCUUUUCGUGUACUUCUGAAAAAGAUAUCCGGGAGACAUUGUUCAGUGGAAAAAAAUCGAAUAUGCAAUACAAUAUGAUUUGGUUUAAAUAUAUGUGUAUGUAUAUAUCUGUUUUGUACAUAUAAAAUAUUUUUUACCUAGAGAUCAAAUGAAUUAUCACCUGUAUUUUUAUCUAGUGUUAGUAUUGUUUUAUUUCUUUACAUUACUUUUUUCUGGAAUUUGUGUAAAAUGUGGAUACGAAUUUUGGAGUUCCCAUUGUGGCACUGUGGUUAACGAAUCUGACUAGGAAUCAUGAGGUUGCAGGUUCGAUCCCUGCCCUUGCUCAGUGGGUUAAGGAUCUGGCGUUGCCGUGAGCUGUGGUGUAUGUCACAGACAUGGCUUGGAUCCGGAGUCACUGUGGCUCUGGUGUAGACCGGUUGCUACAGCUCCGAAUCAACCCCUAGCCUGGAAACCUCCAUAUGCCACAGAAGUUGCCCUAGAAAAGGCAAAAAAAAAAAAA
rnacentral:lncRNA from 1 species